ensembl:lncRNA
GUUGUAGGAGGAGCUGUUGGACUGGCGUUUGAACUUCCUGAGGCGAUUGACAACUGGAAAGAGCUGAUCAAGAAUAAUCAUGUGACUGAAGCGAGCCAAUCACUGAGAGAUACAGCUAAGGCCAUUGAAAAGAUCUGCCAGACACUGAGGGAACAGUUCGACAACAUGAAGUAAGAAGUUUUCUGUGAUUGUCCACCUAGAUUCUCUCCUCCUGUAGAUCUGAGAACAGCAGCUGGACUCAUUUAGAUUCAUGUUACUUCAAAUACUGACUGCUUGUCCUGCUGGAAAACCCAUCCAAAGAAACUUUACUUUACUGUCCACCUGUAUAGUCAGACCACUGACUAUACAGGUGGACACCGAUACAGACUUUAUCAGGUAUCGACCGUGUCAGGAUAUUCAGGCUUCAUUUUUGUACAGUGGGAGGAAGUGGAGACGUCCAUCUUUUAUAUGUAGAUGAGCCAUACUCAUACAUACUCAUAUUUUUACUAGAAAAUGGAUAAAUCUGUAGCAAGACCUACAAAAAGUUUUCAACAUGACAAAUAAUCACUUCCAGACACUGAAGCUAACAACAUGCUCGCUAGCAGAUUCACAGACGAUUUCAUUGGACACAUUUUGACAGGGGAUGGAACGGUUGACAACGUUGCUUUCAGUUGGGUUCAAACCUUUCUAUCUCUAAUUUUGAUACAGGUCAUUACUUCCCAACAUUUACAUGAACAUCGUUUCAGGGUAAAAUGUUUGCUCGCAACCACUGAUGUUGAUUUAUGCUAACUGUCAUUUCAUUUGUUUUAUUCACAGAAAGAUGUUACAAGAGAUGGACAAAAGACAACAAGAAGAAGAGGAGAAGGCUAAAAGACGACAAGAAGAAGAGAAGAAGGCUAAAAGACGACGAGAGGAAGAGGAGAAGGCUAAAAGACGACAAGAAGAAGUUGAUCAAACAAAUCAAAAUAAAGAGACAGAAAGUGGUCAGCAGGGAGGGGGUGAUCAGGGAGAUAAGGAGAGUGAUAGGGACGAUGAGGAGAGUGAUCAGGAGGAUGAGGAGAGUGAUUGUGAAGAUGAGGAGAGUGAUCAGGAGGAUGAGGAGAGUGAUUGUGAAGAUGAGGAGAGUGAUCAGGAGGAUGAGGAGAGUGAUUGUGAAGAUGAGGAGAGUGAUCAGGAGGAUGAGGAGAGUGAUUGUGAAGAUGAGGAGAGUGAUCAGGAGGAUGAGGAGAGUGAUUGUGAAGAUGAGGAGAGUGAUCAGGAGACGGAUAGUGAGGAAGAGACAGAGGAAGAUGAACGCAAGCAGACUGGUAGAAAAAGGACAAAGCGCCAUCGAAAGAAGGGCACUCGAAGUAAACAAAGAGGAGACAGUGAGGACAGUUGUAUUGACCAAGACCAGAGAACCAUCCAGACACCUCCUGGAACUAUAAGAGGGGCGCUACUCAAUGUUUGUUCACUGGAAAAGAAACGAGACCCUGAAAAAAAAAAAAAAGAUCUUAAAGCUCAUACCAAAAAACAACCUGGACCUCUUUCUCACAACAGAGACGUUGUUACGAGAAGACAAUGCAGACUCAGUCCUCAGGGAGGUUUCACCACCGAAUUACACUACAGAUUAUCAGUUCUGCAUCAUGAUGAGUGGAACCAGCCGGUCCCUGUCAUCAAUGUGUAUCACCCACCGGGGUACAACAGGGACCAGUUCCGUACAUUUCUGGAUGAGUUUGAAACGCUCUUGGCUCAUUUCAACAACUACAACAGCAUCAUUGUGACUGGAGAUUUCAAUAUCUGGGUCGAUCAGGAAAGGAGGUCUUUCACUGAUGAGUUUUAUCAUAUUUGGCCGAUCUACAACCUCGAGCAGCAUGUACGGGAGCCAACACACCGGGCAGGUCACACUCUGGAUCUCGUCCUCACCAGAAAUGUUGAAAUCUCUGAUCUUGUUGUCCGAGAUGAUGGAAUAUCAGAUCAUUACACCGUAUAUUUCAAUGCAAAGCCAGUGUCAAAGGAGAGUCAGGAGAAAACUAAAGAAAACAAGGAUCAAGACGAGCAGCCAAAACGAUUGAAAAAGAGCGAAGAAUAGAAAAUGUUUCAGUAUUUUUACACUUCUGACCUGAAAAUAUUGCAUUCAGUUGGUUUCAAAAAGUAGCUGAGUAAGUGUGACAAGAUAGAUAAAAAUGUCUCAUUCUAAGGUAACAAAAACACAACAAUUCUUAUUUUCAGCUGAUUAUACACUAAUAAAAACAUACCUAUGAAUAUUAUAUUCUAUUUCUGACAAUAGAUCUCUAAGUGCCUUAAUUUGGUAUUUAUUAGUUCUCUGCACUAAUAAUCGUAUGGAUGCGUAAUCAGCCGUUUGCUAGCUAAUUGAUGCCAUUGGCCAUAUUGUGGAGGAUGUGUAGUUGAUGCCUUAUUGUUGUACAUUACUGAUUGUAAACUACCUGGUCUGGAUAAACUUAUAUGGUUGAUAUGGAUUUGCUACACAUCUGUACAUCAGUUAGAUUCUCCACAGUUGAAUCCUUCACUUCAUUUUAUAUAAACUAAUCAAAUCAUCAAAUCUGUGAUCGGUGAUUGAUAAUGUUGUUGAAUACAAGUGGUUCUAUUUGUUUUGUAUUAUAACACCAUAUGUGAGUCUAAUGGAAAUGUGAUGUAGCCUGUGAGUGUAAGGAACGUAACAACUUGUAAUAUAGAUUGUACUAAUUAUGGUCAUUUAUCUUUCUUCCACUUUUCUACGAUCAAUAAAUAACCAAAAUGAACAUUUGUCUGGAGUGCUUUCUGAGCGAUGCCCCCUGGUGGCCACAACAAUAAUAAACCAGUCAAAUCAAACAGUCAAAAUCAAACCUUCAUUGAUUCAAAUCUAGAGUUAAAAAGCACCAAGUUCUAAACAGUGGAUGGUAAACAGUCAGUGUAUGACAGCUUCUGAUUAUAGAUUAUUGAUUGAAUUCAAUUCAAUUCAAUUUUAUUUGUAUAGCACCAAUUCAUAACAGAAGUUAUCUCAGGACACUUUUCAAACAGAGCAGGUCUAGACCGAACUCUUUAAAACAUUAUUUACAGAGACCCAACAGUACCACCAUGAGCAAGACCUUGGAGACAAGGGCAAGGAAACACUGCCUGUUAAAAGGCAGAAACCUAGGACAGAUCCUCCGGCUCUAGGUGGGUGGUCGUCUGUCUCGACCAGUUGGGGUGAGAGAGGAGAGAGAGAGAGAGAGAGAGAGAGAGAGAGAGAGGCAGAGACAGAGACAGAGACAGAGACAGAGACAGAGACAGAGACAGACAGACAGACAGACAGACAGGUGCACAGCAACAACAGUAUUGGCAAUGGCAAUCUAGCAGGACCAUGGCAGGAGGCUCCACCAGGAUCGACAAGACCCUGCGAGACGAGAAAGCACAAGAACUCCGGGGAAGAAGUGAAGUUAGUAACAUGCAUUAAUGGAACAUGAAUGAGUGCAGAAAGAGAGAGGAAGAGAGGAGCUCAGUGCACCAUGGGAAAUCCCCCGAUGGUCUAGGCCUAUAGCAGCAUAACUAAGGGAUGGUUCAGGACUCACCUGAUCCAGCCCUAACUAUAAGCUUUAUCAAAGAGGAAUGUCUUAAGCCUACUCUUGAAUGUGGUGAGGGUGUCUGCCUCCCGAACCACAACUGGAAGCUGGUUCCACAGGAGAGGAGCUUGGUAACUGAAGGCUCUGGCUCCUGUUCUACUUUUAGAGACUAUAGGAACCACAAGUAGCCCAGCAUUCAGAGAACGUAGUGUUCUAGAGGGGUAAUAGGGUACUAUGAGCUCUUUAAGAUAUGAAGGGGCCUGACCAUGAAGAGCUUUAUAGGUGAGGAGGAGAAUCAACUCCAUAUAGAACAUGGCUCUAGAGUUUAUACACUGUUUAAUGAUUAUAGAUUACAGAUUAUAGAUUCAACGUUCUCAUUCUAAGCAAACCAAAUACUGUUCUCAAAUUAAAGUUUCUUUGCUAACAUGCAGACAGCGACUCGCUGCUGAAUAUUUAUCAGUUAAUUUUGUGAAUCCACAUGAACUCUUCACAUCAACAUCAAAUAGAUCCACUGCACAGCACUUAUGUUCUGGCUAUAGAGCCAUGAGUCCUGAUGCUGUGCUCCUCCAGGCCCUGCCGUCCCUCUGCAGCCAGUAGUAGUGCGGGGCUGUCCCCAAUCAUUAAUCAGGGCUGGGUGUCGAUAAUCUGGGAACAGAGUUACAGCUGCUGUGUGUCGGUGUGUCUGUGUGAAUAGAGCUGUGUUAAACAUUAAACUGAAAGCGGUACUCCUCCCUGCUAGAGGGAUUGUUCGAUUGCUUCAUUGAGUUUGUUAAAGUACUUACAAAUAUGUAGUUACACAGGAUCGGCUUCUCCUUGGGCUUUCCUCCUUGUUCUAUUCAGUUUCUGUUGAUUGCUAAUAAAAAAUCCUUGUUUGUAUUGAAGUAAACUUUUCUUGGUUCUUUCCUGCAGGGUACAUUAUUUAUGUGUUACUCCCCAUUAUCACUGGUCAUCUCAUUAUCUCUUUCUUCCAAGACAGCGGCAAACACUAAGAGGAAAUGUAGAAGUUGAGUUCUCAUUAAAACUAAAUUUUGACUGGGAUGUUAACUGUACGUCAAAUGAAUUAGAGCAUAGAUUGGAUUCACUGUGUAUAUCUAUACAGUGUGUGUGUGUGUGUGUGUGUAUGUGUGUGUGUGUAUUCACAGGAGGUUAUGCUAGCUGUUGCUAACCCUCUACUUAGUAUG